CUGACCGUGGCUGCGGCUUCCUUUUACUAUGGAAGCACGUGACAUCAGACGCAUGGGCGAAGUUGCAUCGGCGAAAACCCGGAAGUCAUUACAGGUGAAUGCCGAUCGGAUAGAAAUUAUAGUAGAAAUCAUGACAGACAGUCACACACAGAGUUACAGUCCCACACAAGCAGGCAGUGACAUACACAGUGACAGUCACACACACAGUUACAGUUCACACACAGGCAGAUAGUCACACAGGCAGACAGUCACACACAUUUACAGUCACACACAGGCAUAUAGUCACACACACAGUUACCUCUUUCUAUUAUGGGCUGGAAGGGAGGAGUGGAGGCAUUGUAGCGCCUGGGGUUUAGUUGUUGGGGAAGCAGGGACU